UCAAUACUGUAUACGUUUAUGUACAUGGAAAUACGGUGCUGAAUUAUAAUAUUAGGUUGACUAACUGGCAGCCAGUUCAUUCUAAUUUUUCUUUUUUUUAAUAGAGAAUUGAACCUAAACCUCUUUGGUUAAUUGUGUGAAUGCUUUUCCAUAUUCACAUUAUUCACUGUUUGUUUUCCUGGCUGAAAAAAAUUGAAGACUUUAAAAUGGAGCCUCUGAAAUAAAUGACAAGCCAGGGCUUACUUGUUCUGAAUCUUUCAGAACGACUUAACAAUUGCUAAAGACCAAUUUACAGUAGAACUAGGGCAAAUUGCUUCCCAGCCUUUUGAAUUGUAAAAAACCACAUCUCCCAAAUUCCUAAGCUAUUCAUCAAGUGUUCUAUUGUAGCAGGCUCACCCUAUAUUGUGUCCCUGAUAUGUCUAUUAACUCUGCAGUGAAGUGUGAGUUUAAAACAAUUGUGCCAUGGAGUCACUGUGGGAUAAAUACCACAAACAUCGGCAAAGUUGCUUCAUAAAUCUUUCAUAGUUUAGUGAGGAAUUUAGGCAUGCCUUUCUUCUAUGAGAGUGCAGCUGUUUCUUUUGGGGUCCCCCGGGGGCUGGAUCUUGGUGUAAGGCUGUUUAAUAUUGUUAUGUUCACAGUUUUUAUGAUGAUAUCUCAUCGUUACCCAUAGAUUACAUGCAGGUUUGUGCACGUAUUCCAAAUCAUUUUUUUUUAAAAUGGUCAGCAUCCAGCAGAAGGCAUUUUCCAUGCAGCAGCGUACAAAGGAACCAGGAAUGCAGUUACACCAGCAGGAUAGGGAACUGUCUUCAAACUGGUAAUUAGAGAAAAGACUUAAGAAUUUGUGCAGGGAAUCAUCUCAACACAACUUUUCAUGGUAAUGCUGUGACCGAAGUGUGGUCUUUGGCUGUAUAGCAAUAUAAAUAUUGCACAGAAAUAGGAAAGUACGUGGCAUUAGUAAGAUCAUGGGAAUUCUGUGUGUGGUUUUGCUGCUGACAUGUGAGGGAGGAUGUGAACUAUUAGUAAGAGUACAGUGACAAAAGUGAUCCAAGGUUUGGAAACCAAGUUUUACGAUGCAGGGUGUGCAGGGUUUAUUCCCCUCAGAAGAGACUAGGAGAAAUCAUGUCUGUCUAUAUCCUAUGUAUGUGUAAGGGAGAUACAUGAUACUUGACCCUACUAAGACAUCCGGUGUCUAGGAGAUGCAGUUAGGUAUGUUUUACCUUGAAAUAUAAACGGCAAUAAGGGCAAUAAAGCAUUCUAAUGGAUUUGCUGUUGCUGGGAGUGUAUUAAGUGAGAUGGGGUUUUCUUCUCAAAGAUGUGCUUUGGCUUGGCUUGGUGGAGGAUGUUUCCAGUGCAUGCAGAAGGGAGGGACUGUGCUCUGUUCACCUGCAUUCUUGCUUAGAUUGAGGAAACAAGAUUAUUUGAAGUGCUUUCUGUGUAUUGUAGCACAUGUUCCCACCUUGGAUAAGAUUACAAUAAAGUGUCAUGCUACAGAACUUGGCUGGUUUUCUCGUCUGUCAGGAGAACCAUUUUUUCUUUUAAUUCGACUUCUGGGAUUAUGAUUAAUUAUUGUGUACUUUCCUCCGGAGCAUCAACAUCUGGUGGCAGCUGGAGACAGGAUAUUGGGUGCUCACGUUCCUCACUUACUACUCCCUGUGGUUACAGAGUCCUCUCAUAUUCCCAGGGUGACAUUAAUGGAAGUUUUCUUGUUGAAAAGAACUGAAACUUGAGGAGCCUAAGUUCUUCUAAGGAGUUGGCACAAGUGUGCGAGGUAGUCGAAGUGGCCUGCCUAGGGUGGCAGGAUUGGAAGGAGAACAGGGAUCGGAAUAGAAGCAAAGAGCUUUUCAUCUGAGUGGAGCAGAGGAGAGCCUUGCAGCAGCCACCCCACCAUGCAUAUAU